UCCAGUGGACAGUCAUUUGUAACAACAUAUUAUUUCAUUUUUGGGAGGUUGUUUUUCUGAAAAGUUUAAUUAUACUUCAUAUUACUGAAACUAUAUACUAAUUGAAAAUAUAAAAGCUUAUUAAAAGACCCAGUUGAAAAAUCAUUCCAUUUAGAAAAUCAUGACAAUGCUAAUAUUCUUUGAACGAAUAUCAGAUUCUAAAUUACUUCAUCUGUAAUCUGUAUCCUGUGAAAACCAAAAUCCAGAAUCACUGUUUGCUUUCUAAUAGAACAUUUACCAGUUCAUUUCCAGUAUUUUAGUAAAUCUAUGAAAUUACAACAAUUAGUAGAUACUAGGAAAGAAACUGAGGGAAACCUCUCUCAGUGACCGACUAUUCGUCAAUGCUUCUUACAUUUUUUUCUGUUCUUUUGAAAAAAACGCAUGCCUCUUCCUGACUUAGCAAAUCACUCACUUGCAAAAAUAAAUUUCUUAAUAGUACAACCCGUGAUUAAAUGAGCAGACAAGAAAUAUUUUAUAUACCAAAAGCUCUAAAUGUUCUAAGAUACAUGUGAUGAGGUAAUUCUACAGGAAAAGUUACAUGUGACAUGACCCUUUAAUUCUGGAGAAGUCUAUCCCCACGAUAGAGUUUGCUCUAUAGAGAGCAGUAUUACCCAGAAGUCCUGCAUUACAUCCUUCACGUGUCGAGCUUUGAGAACUAACUCAAAGGCGCAGAAGAGACUAAGACUUUCAAAGCCUUCACCGUUGCUGGCCAGAGAGGCCCUCAUUCCAUCUGACAGGUACAAAUCAUGCUUAGAAUUUUAAAGAAUCUCUUGAAACUCUCCUCAUAAUGUUUUCUGAUGACCGACGUAGAAGCUGAACAGGGUUACAGAGAGGUUAAGACCCUUGCAGUUCACACAGCUAAUUGGUGUUUGCUGAUAAUCACUUUUUAUUUCUAUGAAAAGGAACUCGAGAACAGAUGGACUUGUGCCCUAUUUGAUCACCCUUCCCGGGAUGACUGACUCUAUCUCCUACGUCAGGAAAACUGCUGCAGAUUGCCCAGCAACACCUCUGAUCCGGGGACCUGGGAAAGAAGAACUCAGCCUGGCAGCCACUGUUUAUGGCUGGGCUGGAAGCAAUGUGACUUAGGGGCCAGGGGCCAAGAAACUUGAUGUAGAAGGAAUUUCACGUAACAGCUGAGAUGUCAUUCCCUCCCGUGAGGUCCUUUUAAUGACUGUGCAGAGACACUGCAACGCCUGACAAAGUGAGGUUUUAGAUCCUCUUGGAAUCAAACGUUGUAUAUGGUGUUAGUGUCUUCAAGUUUUGUAUAUUGGAACUUCCUUCAUUUCAGGAAUAAAUCACAAUUGGUCACAGUGUAUAAUCCUUUUAAUAUGCCGCUGGGUUCAGUUUCCUAUAUGGUCAAGUGAUUUUCCAGACGGACGCCAAGUCUGUUCAAUGGGGAGAGGACAAGUGAUGAUGGCAAAACUGGACACCCACGUGAGAAAUAGUGAAGUUGGAUUCUUUUUCUGUUUUAUGUGGUGAAAAGUCAAUAACACUGUUCUGCAACAGACCUCUAGAACUUUUUCAUCUUGCAAAACUGAAAUGAUGUCUAUUGAGAAAUUUCCCUUUUCCCUCUCCCCUGGGUCUGACAACCACGAGUCAACUUUCUGUUUCUAAGGUUUGACCACUCUAGGCACCUCGGAAUCAUGCAAUGUUUGUCUUUUUGUGACGUGCUUAUGCCACUGAGCAGAAUGUCAAGUCACCCAUACCGUAGAAUGAGAAGGAUUCCCUUCUCUGAACAUGAAUGAUGUCUCACCAUCUGUAUGUGCAGUUCAAUAUUUCUGUUUCUCCUUUCAGCCACUGGAGGACCUUUAUAUUGUCUCCAUCUCUUGGCUAUUGUGAACAGUGCUGCUGUGUUUACAUCCUGAAGUGGGAUUGCAGCGGCGUAUGCUAGUAACAUUUUACAUUUUUUGAAGAUCCUUCUUGCUGUUUUCCAUGGUGGCUGCAGUUUUACAUUCCCAACAAUGUUGCAUGAGAUUUCCAAUUUUAUUUUAUUACAUUAAGAACACUUAACCUGAGACCUACCCUCUUAACAACUGUGAAGCAUACACUGUGUUAGAGGAGUCAGUAUAUUCUGUGUGUCAACCCUGUAUCGGGUACCUGGUUUGCCAAUGCUUCCUCUCAUUAUGCACGUUGCCUCUUCGUCCUGUCGGUUCUUUCCCUGCCAGCUUGGCUAUUUUUCCUCUGUUGCCUGUGCCUUUAGUGUCACAUCCAAGAAACCAUAGCCAAAUCCAACACCAUGAAGUUUUUCCCCUAUGUUUUCUUCUAGGAGUUUUAUAAGUUUCAGGUCUUACAUUUAGGCCUUUAAUCCAUUUUGAAUUAAUUUUUUUAUAUGGAGUAAGAUGAGGGUCCAACUUCUUUUUUUCAUACGUGGAUAUCCAAUUUUUCUAACACCAUUUGUUGAAGAGGCUGUUAAAAGGUAAAGUGAGGCAUGUUAAAAUUUUUAAGAGUUUAUUUGAGCAAAAAGCAAUUCAAAUUGGGAAGCAUCCAAUCUGGCACAUAGAAAGGGGCUUCAAGAAACUGCACAAAAUGAAAGACUUUUACAGGCAGAAGGCAGCUGGAACAAGGACAUUACACCAGACAGACUGCACAGGAGCACGUGGGUUCUUUGCAAAGUCACUUUCCUACAGCGGAUGGCUGGGGUCUGUGAGGUAGAUGACUUAACUAGUAAGUAAUCUAGGGAAUGCAGGUGCUUCUGACUGACAAGUAUAAGAUUCCAUUUCCAGGAGCUCUGGAACUGUAAUUACGUCUCAGUUUUGUGACCUGGGGCUUAGCAUAAGCAACUGCAUUUGAACCUUUGCACCCUACACUUGAGGUUCUUUUCUGGGUCCCCUAUUGGCUCCACUGGUCUGCACUGCUGUCUUUAUGGCAGGACCACACUGUUUCCAUGACUGGGGCAUUGUGGUAUGUUUCAAAGUCAGGAAGUGUGAGUCCUCUGCUUUGUUUUUCUUUUAAAGUUAGAGUUUCAUCUUACAUCAUAUAUAGAAAUUAACUUAUAUGGAUCAAAACCCUCCCCUGAAGUGCUAAAACUAUAAAACCCUUAGAAUAAAACUUGAGGGGAUAGCUUCUUGACAUUGGCUUUGGCAAUGAUUUUUUAGAUAUGAUACCAGAACCAUAGGCAACGGAAGCAAAAAUAAAUAAUAGCACUACAUCAAAAUUUAAAACUACUUGGGGGAGGGUAUAGCUCAAGUGG